rnacentral:lncRNA from 1 species
AUAUGUAUUCAAUUCCUACCACCGUAGUGGAAGAGAGGCUAUCCCUAUCUUUACAACUGAUAGCAUUUCCAACAGUAAGCUGUGAGAUUCUGCUUGAAAUCACCUCUCAAACAAAUAAAAAACAGACCUGGGAGACACGCUACACUCAUUCUGCUGAAGAAAUAGGCAUUCAUACUUGGGGAAACAGGGAUUUCACAGACCCAGGCUUGUUCCCUACAUAAUGUUUCCUCCUCCGACAUCAGUUCAUCAGUCAAUCAAGUCAUGUGAGAGUGGAGGCCUUGUAUUCCCUAUUAUUCUUGGGCACUCUCCUCCAAGGAGGGAAAGGCCAGGAGGUCCUUUUAGAGGAUGCACUC